GACGAACGCUGGCGGCGUGCCUAAUACAUGCAAGUCGAACGCAGUGGGUACGGGUGAGUUACACGUGGUUAACCUCCCAUUAGAUGGGAUAACACUUGGAAACAGGUGCUAAACUGAUACUGAUGGAUGGACUCGCGGUGCUUUAGCUAGUGGGUAAGGUAACGGCUCACCAAGGACACGAUGCAUAGCCGACCUGAGAGGGUGAUCGGCCACACUGGGACUGAGACACGGCCCAGACUCCUACGGGAGGCAGCAGUAGGGAAUCUUCGGCAAUGGACGAAAGUCUGACCGAGCAACGCCGCGUGAGUGAAGAAGGUUUUCGGAUCGUAAAACUCUGUUGUUAGAGAAGCGGUAUCUAACCAGAAAGCCACGGCUAACUACGUGCCAGCAGCCGCGGUAAUUC
rnacentral:rRNA from 1 species